CCUACGGGUGGCUGCAGUGGGGAAUAUUGGACAAUGGGCGAAAGCCUGAUCCAGCCAUGCCGCGUGUGUGAAGAAGGCCUUCGGGUUGUAAAGCACUUUCAGUGGGGAAGAAAGCCUUGGGGCUAAUACCCUCGAGGAAGGACAUCACCCACAGAAGAAGCACCGGCUAACUCCGUGCCAGCAGCCGCGGUAAUACGGAGGGUGCGAGCGUUAAUCGGAAUUACUGGGCGUAAAGCGCGCGUAGGCGGUCUGAUAAGCCGGUUGUGAAAGCCCCGGGCUCAACCUGGGAACGGCAUCCGGAACUGUCAGGCUAGAGUGCAGGAGAGGAAGGUAGAAUUCCCGGUGUAGCGGUGAAAUGCGUAGAGAUCGGGAGGAAUACCAGUGGCGAAGGCGGCCUCCUGGACUGACACUGACGCUGAGGUGCGAAAGCGUGGGUAGCAAACAGGAUUAGAUACCCUAGUAGUC
rnacentral:rRNA from 1 species